CAGCCAGCAGAGCUGUGCCAAUUCACAUGAGUGGAAAGAGUUCCAUAAAUCAGUUAUCAGACCGAUACAUUAAGGCAGCCUAUUUAAACUGCUUCUGCUUUGCUUUUAUUUAUUUACAGAUGACCUGCAGCACGUAAGGAUGAUGCUCGAGCACCACAAAGCCCAGGGCAACCAGCACUAUGAUGUCCCCUCAGGAAGACUUGAUAUCCAUCACCUGGCAGUACAAAGAAAUCUCGUUGUGACAGAUAAUAACCAAUUUGACUGCCUUUAAAAGUUUUGCCCCCAACAGAAGAAACUGCAGAUUCUACUCUGCAGGUGCUUCUUGUGCAAAAGAAUUUAAUAACCUAACUGGAUAUUCAAAAGGACAAGUCUACUGAUCCCACCCUUCCAGAAGCACGCACUGCAUUUGCAAGCAUUGCCUAUUCGUUCAUAUUUUUGUAUCUGGAGAACUAUUGUAUUUACCAAGGUAUUUUCCCCCCUAAAGGUAUACAUAUGGAUCUUAAAGUUCUCUGGAAAGCCAAAGUUAUUGGGGGCUUCCUGAACUACUUGUUAUCACUUUGAAGCAUCUGGCUCGUGGUCAGCUGUUUCACGUUACAAACUUCUACAUUUGUUUCUGAAGAAAUUAGCACAGCUUCCUUCAAUGCUACAUUCUGCAGCGGUUUUGGUUUUGAUUGUAACAUCUCGUUGUUCAUCUUAAAAUCAAAGUCAUUUAUGGAAGCUGCAGAAUUUUAAUGUUCCUCAGACUCAAAAGCAUUUGUUUAACCACCACCAGACAAGGAGAUGAAUAGGGGAGACUGUCUGCUCUUGAUUUAGUGGGACCAGAUUUUUAGGAGAGCUCAACAACUAGUGCAUGUCUUCAACACACUGAUUCUCUUGGACAGCCUGGCUAUUUAUUACAGUGCUUAAAUGAGAAUGACGCUCAUGAAAACCAUGACCUUAGUGAACCGGACAGUUAGUACACACUAUACAUUCCUAUAUUUUCAUCUGACACGGGUGAUUUAUUUGCAACUUCUACCUGCAACUUAAAAGCAGCUUUUGAUUCUCAUUAUUUCUGCAUCUCUUUUAUUGUUCACCCAAAAGGCCUGCCUAUACGAUUGUUGAGCUAUGAGCUGUUUAAGAAUCGCUGCCUGGUACAAAAUGAUAUGCAGGACAAAAACAAAGAGACAGUAUCUUCUUCGGUUACUUUUGUUUAAGCCCUACACAGAGAACAGAAUAGAUUAAAGCAGUGGGAAAAUAAGGGAUCGAGCCUUAUGAUGUGGCAUAGGGUGCUUCUUACAGCCAACCGCACUUCAUUUUUCUCCGCUGAUGCUUCCAAGUGGUUUUCUAGGAUACCCCUGAGCAGAACUCAUUGUAAUAACUGGAGGAAAUAAAUUAAUGGAGAAUUACCGCAAGGUUCAUCUAAGAGAAGAUUUGAUAAACAACACUUCCAGGCUGAGAUAUUCAGCGCAGCCUAAGGAAUGUGGACUUUCCCACUCCCGUCGAACUGAAUGGGAAUCUGUACCUCUGAGUCAAGCUGGGAAGUAGCUGCCACAACCACUAAAAGCAAUUUUGGGUUUCAGGUGCAACCAGAGAUCAAGAAGUCCUCUUAAACUGAAAAUCUCUGACAAAGAAAGAGGUGAAACAAAAAGCGUUUGACCCAUCCAACUGGCAUCGCUACCAGACUUAGUCUCAGCAAGCAAACUCCCAGGCAAGUUGCAAUCCCUGCGCUCCCAGCCUCCAUCAAGAAAAUUGCACAAUUGUCAGACAGAGACAAAAAUGCACAACAGUGGAAUCACAGCCCAAACUGCUGCAGACAGCAUGAGAUGUCCCCUGCGUGUGCAAGCUAGAAAGGAAGCUUAUCAAAAUCAGGGCAAAUUAAAUAUUAUCAUGUUGCUUCUGCCUGGAUUCUCCCCAGGCACAAUGCCCCUUUGGCAAAGCCAUACUUCACCCCUGGGCAUUUUUUAAUGUUGCUUUCCAGAGCAAGACUUAGGUAAACCUUAAUUGGUGCAUGGGUUUUAGGCUGGUUCUCUGUAUGGUCAAAAUGUUUUCCACUUGAAAUGGUUUUGAAACCACUGCUGACACCUGUGCAGUCACAUAUACAUCAGGCACUUCUGUGUCUUUAAAAAGCAACACACACCCCUGGCACUUUGAACCCAGAUUCUACCUCAUUUGUACCCAUGGGAUGCUGGUGAAGUCAUCAUGAUCACACAGGAUAAACGAAGGUUGAAGUUGGCCUGUUUAAAUUAGGGUUUUGUUGGUUUUUCUUUUUUUUUUUUUUUUUUUUAAACCCUUGUAUACUCUUCCCAUUGCUAAAUCUUUUACAGAGGCUACUAAGGUAGAGAGCUGCUGAGCUAAUCCUCUUUGACUCCCUGCCAUCCUGGCAGGUACUGCAAAGCCUAAGGUAAAGUGGAGCAUCAAAAGGAAAAUUAAUGUCUUCUAACAGCAAUUAGAGGAAAUUAUUUAGAUAUAAAUCUUGUUUUAUAUCUUCUCAUACUUGUUUUUCAAUCUUCCCCCUUUGAUUUUUUUUUCCUUUCAGGCUUUUCAGAAAGAAACAUUUAAAAUCCCUCCUGUAAACCAGUGGCAUAAUUAGCUGCAUGUUACACCUGGUAUUUUACUCUUCUACAGAGUAAUUCCUUUGAGCUUUCUUUUUUUUACUAAGCCCCGAGGUCUCCCGAAACUGAAUCUACUUGUUCUCUCCUCUGCUGGCCGACCGGGGUUUGAGGGGGGAACCAAAGGGGGCAGGGGCUGCAGGGUGCCCUCCCACCACCCCCUGGCUGCCGCAGCAGGGACGCGGGUGCCAGGCACACCCAGGGCCUCCAGUGGCAGGCGAACGCACCUCCCGGUCGCCCGCGCUUGGCCUAGGCCAUGAAGCAAUGUGUGUAACCUAAUUGUACUCCGAUAACAUCAAACAAAGUCUCUCUGAUCCAGCAUCUGGCACGCCGCCAUCCUAUCUGGGGUCCGAUCUGACAAGCUUGCCGAUUGAUCAAAUCAUUAUCUGGUAGUGUAGGUGUAUCGUCUAACACGAGCCAAAUUCCUUCGGCUGCUGCUUCUCCUUUCUAGAGAGGAUACGGCUCCAGCAGGCUCCUUCCCCCGUGGUACGUGGCUGAUGGCUUCCGUAGCCUCUUGCAAACUGCAGAGUGGCUCGUGUUCAC